rnacentral:rRNA from 1 species
CUUUUGUAUAAUGGGUCAGCGACUUAUAUUCUGUAGCAAGGUUAACCGAAUAGGGGAGCCGAAGGGAAACCGAGUCUUAACCGGGCGUUAAGUUGCAGGGUAUAGACCCGAAACCCGGUGAUCUAGCCAUGGGCAGGUUGAAGGUUGGGUAACACUAACUGGAGGACCGAACCGACUAAUGUUGAAAAAUUAGCGGAUGACUUGUGGCUGGGGGUGAAAGGCCAAUCAAACCGGGAGAUAGCUGGUUCUCCCCGAAAGCUAUUUAGGUAGCGCCUCGUGAAUUCAUCUCCGGGGGUAGAGCACUGUUUCGGCAAGGGGGUCAUCCCGACUUACCAACCCGAUGCAAACUGCGAAUACCGGAGAAUGUUAUCACGGGAGACACACGGCGGGUGCUAACGUCCGUCGUGAAGAGGGAAACAACCCAGACCGCCAGCUAAGGUCCCAAAGUCAUGGUUAAGUGGGAAACGAUGUGGGAAGGCCCAGACAGCCAGGAUGUUGGCUUAGAAGCAGCCAUCAUUUAAAGAAAGCGUAAUAGCUCACUGGUCGAGUCGGCCUGCGCGGAAGAUGUAACGGGGCUAAACCAUGCACCGAAGCUGCGGCAGCGACACUGUGUGUUGUUGGGUAGGGGAGCGUUCUGUAAGCCUGUGAAGGUGUACUGUGAGGUAUGCUGGAGGUAUCAGAAGUGCGAAUGCUGACAUAAGUAACGAUAAAGCGGGUGAAAAGCCCGCUCGCCGGAAGACCAAGGGUUCCUGUCCAACGUUAAUCGGGGCAGGGUGAGUCGACCCCUAAGGCGAGGCCGAAAGGCGUAGUCGAUGGGAAACAGGUUAAUAUUCCUGUACUUGGUGUUACUGCGAAGGGGGGACGGAGAAGGCUAUGUUGGCCGGGCGACGGUUGUCCCGGUUUAAGCGUGUAGGCUGGUUUUCCAGGCAAAUCCGGAAAAUCAAGGCUGAGGCGUGAUGACGAGGCACUACGGUGCUGAAGCAACAAAUGCCCUGCUUCCAGGAAAAGCCUCUAAGCAUCAGGUAACAUCAAAUCGUACCCCAAACCGACACAGGUGGUCAGGUAGAGAAUACCAAGGCGCUUGAGAGAACUCGGGUGAAGGAACUAGGCAAAAUGGUGCCGUAACUUCGGGAGAAGGCACGCUGAUAUGUAGGUGAAGUCCCUCGCGGAUGGAGCUGAAAUCAGUCGAAGAUACCAGCUGGCUGCAACUGUUUAUUAAAAACACAGCACUGUGCAAACACGAAAGUGGACGUAUACGGUGUGACGCCUGCCCGGUGCCGGAAGGUUAAUUGAUGGGGUCAGCGCAAGCGAAGCUCUUGAUCGAAGCCCCGGUAAACGGCGGCCGUAACUAUAACGGUCCUAAGGUAGCGAAAUUCCUUGUCGGGUAAGUUCCGACCUGCACGAAUGGCGUAAUGAUGGCCAGGCUGUCUCCACCCGAGACUCAGUGAAAUUGAACUCGCUGUGAAGAUGCAGUGUACCCGCGGCAAGACGGAAAGACCCCGUGAACCUUUACUAUAGCUUGACACUGAACAUUGAGCCUUGAUGUGUAGGAUAGGUGGGAGGCUUUGAAGUGUGGACGCCAGUCUGCAUGGAGCCGACCUUGAAAUACCACCCUUUAAUGUUUGAUGUUCUAACGUGGACCCGUGAUCCGGGUUGCGGACAGUGUCUGGUGGGUAGUUUGACUGGGGCGGUCUCCUCCUAAAGAGUAACGGAGGAGCACGAAGGUUGGCUAAUCCUGGUCGGACAUCAGGAGGUUAGUGCAAUGGCAUAAGCCAGCUUGACUGCGAGCGUGACGGCGCGAGCAGGUGCGAAAGCAGGUCAUAGUGAUCCGGUGGUUCUGAAUGGAAGGGCCAUCGCUCAACGGAUAAAAGGUACUCCGGGGAUAACAGGCUGAUACCGCCCAAGAGUUCAUAUCGACGGCGGUGUUUGGCACCUCGAUGUCGGCUCAUCACAUCCUGGGGCUGAAGUAGGUCCCAAGGGUAUGGCUGUUCGCCAUUUAAAGUGGUACGCGAGCUGGGUUUAGAACGUCGUGAGACAGUUCGGUCCCUAUCUGCCGUGGGCGCUGGAGAACUGAGGGGGGCUGCUCCUAGUACGAGAGGACCGGAGUGGACGCAUCACUGGUGUUCGGGUUGUCAUGCCAAUGGCACUGCCCGGUAGCUAAAUGCGGAAGAGAUAAGUGCUGAAAGCAUCUAAGCACGAAACUUGCCCCGAGAUGAGUUCU